rnacentral:lncRNA from 1 species
GGAACCUCAGAUUGCAGCUUUUAAAGUAUGCAAAUAUAUCUCUUUCAGGGGAAGACAGGGAGAUGGGUGUUUCUGUCUGCUUUCUCUGUGCUGAGCCCUGGGAUGAUAACCCGUUCAGAACUAGUCUUUUGUUCACUACCAUCCUGUUGAACCCAUGAAUGUAAGCCCCACUGGACAUCAGAGCCAGUUGGAUUUGUUGCUCUUGACUUCUACAAAACAAGAAAUGAAGACUAGGCAGUGUGAAGCAAUGGAAAGAUGGCUACAUCUUGGCAGUCUUAUUUUCAGAAGAUUAUCUGGUAUUCUUUAUUGAGAACCAGGAAAGACAAGCUUCAAGGCAGGGCAGUUGAAUGUCCUGAGCACCUGUCCCUUGACCUGCAGACAUAAAGUGAGGAUAAAUACUGGCCAAGAUGUAACAAACUUCGAUGGAGAAUCCUGGGCCACGUGGUGGCAUGCAGACCUUUUGUUACUGGGAAGUGAUGGGAGCUCCCUCAUGGGAGGGGCAGAGUGCCCUCCCUUGUCUCCACCUCCCCAUCAGGACCUGGAAGAAUCAGAAUCUGUCUCCCAUUGCUCUGGGGGUAGGAGGUCCCCUUCUGAGCUGGACAGGGAGAGAAUCUAUUCUAGAAUAGAUGAUCUCACCUCUUCCACCUAUUACUGUAUCAGCCAGGAAGGAGCUUGGGCGGCCACGUGGCUGAAGGAUUCGGGGAGCUCACGGUGCGGGCAGGCAGAUUUUACAAUGAGAGAGAUCAGAUCACUGAACCAGAGUGCACAUCAGAUUUCUACUCUUUGUAUCACCAGUAACUAACUUUGGCCACUUGAUGUGAAGAACUGACUCAUUGGAAAAGACCCUGAUGCUGGGAAAGAUUGAAGGCAGGAGGAGGAGGGGACGACAGAGGAUGAGAUGGUUGGAUGGCAUUACCAACUCGAUGGAUGUAAGUCUGAGCAAGCUCCAGGAAUUGGUGAUGGA